UUUUUUUUUUUUUUUUUUUUUUUUUUGUCUUUGGUCUAUUUAGGGCCACACCCACCACAUAUGGAGGUUCUCAGGCUAGGGGUCAAAUCAGAGCUGUAGCCACUGACCUAUGCCACAGCCACAGCAAUGUGGGAUCUGGGCUGCAUUUGUGACCUAUGCCGCAGCUCAUAGCAAUGCCAGAUCCUUAACCCACUGAGAAAGGCCAAGGAUCGAACUCACAUCCUCAUGGAUACUAGUUGGGUUCGUUAACCACUGAACCACAAUGGGAACUCCUAUAUUUUAUUUUUUAAUGUUGGCUUCUACUUAAUAUAGAAGACACUGAGGUAAUCUCAUCAACAUCUAUUCCACAUCCCAGUGUGCAUCAGCCAUUUGGUUUAAGCAACUGACCUAGGCAAUGGAGGCAGGCCCUAAUAAGUCUGACUCAAUCAAUAAAAUAUGAUUCUUCUUGCCUAUUGGCACAUGGCAUACCUUUAGAAACAGGCUGGUUUAGGAAUAGGAACAUAAUUGUAUCUUUACCAAUAAGACAUGCCAGGAAGACUCUUUGGAGGCUGUUGGGGAAAGUUUCCUCACUCUGAGUCAUUAGAAGUGGUAGCAUUUUUUUUUUUAAUAAAGAAGGAUGUAGCUUCAGUUAUUACCACCCCAUGACUAUGAGGAAAUCACUGUAGGCUAGAACUGAUAUUAUCCUGGGUCUUUGAUGACACUGCUGGACUGAGUUUGAACCAAACCUGAAGCUCAGUCUACUGCUGGACUUGCCAGUUGUGGGAACCCAUACAUUUCCCUACUGUUUAAGCUAUCACUUUCAGUUGAGUUUCUGUUACAUGCAUCUGAAAGUAUUCUAAAUGAUGCAAUUUUCUACCACUUUUGCCUAUCACCUUUGCUUCUAAUCUGAUGUACCAACUGGCUAUCUUUCUUAGCUUUAACUAUCAGCACUCUUCUAUCUAGCAUUUACAGUGAACAUUUUGGUUUUAUACCUAACAUCUAGGUCUAGCUUAUACCACUAGACAUUAUCAUGUAGGACAGGUUAUGUGAACCUGGUGCAGCCAUGAGAGAAACUAACCUGAGAACAAAGUCCAUAUGCUUAAAAUUACAAAGCAGAAAAAUGGGGGGGGGGGAAAGCCUGAAGCCCUGAUAAUGUGAUUUAACUGAUGGAAAAUUAUUUUCAGCCUUCUUAUUAGCUAACAAAUAUUCUCAUUGUUUAAGAUAAUCUGAAUUGGGGUAUUCUGUUGUUUAAAUUUGAAAACAACUGAAAUGUUGUAGCAGUGUCUAGUAUUAGAGAAAUGGUAGUGAGAAUGAGAAUUCUGGUUUAUGAUCGCUACUUAUAGUUUUCACUAAAAAUCUGUAAGAAAGAGGGAAGCUUAGGCUGAAAGCAGAGAAGGAUGUGGAAGGCAGUAGUAGGAGAUAAACUUAGUUGCCAAAGUUCCUCCUAUGGAUAAGAUAACCUACAUUGGACAAAGAUAACUAGUUUUGCAUCAAACAUAGGAUUACAGAAGGGGCUUCUCUGUCUACAUUCAUUGUUUUCAAUUAUACUGGCAGGAGGGUCAUCAAAAUGUGAACCAGGGAAUGGGCAGAUCUCAGAGAGAUGUCUAAGGCUAGAAGACUGACGUUCUCAGAUCCAAAUGUUCUGUCUAGUUGGGCCUUCUGACUCUAUUUGCUGAUUUGUGGAAUUAGUCAAAAGAAAUCAGGACCUACUAAGUCUUUUACAGAAUUGACUACCAAAGAAACCCUAAAGCUGGCCAAUCCACAGCAACGAACAAUUCUGUGAUAGUCCAAUUCCUAAGGCACUCUCCCAGUAUCCUAAACUCACACUAAUGAACAGUGCUAAACUAUCCAAUACCUGUCUCAAAUAUGGUCAAAGAAGACAAUCAACAAGGAGGAUAUUCCCAAAUAACAGGAUUAGGGCAAUGGAAGGCAAAAGAUUAUCCCCAAAACCAGAGUUGGAGGCUACCAUAUUGGCUGACCAAGGGACUCAUCACUACUAGGGUGGGCGUCCUCUCUUCUAAUAGGAUAUGAUAUGGGCUAUGGACCAAAGUCCACUGAGUGUCAUUUCCAUGCACCCCUUUUCAAAUGAAAGUUUUAAUUAUAUUUAUCUUGUUUCUCUUCCAAUAUUGUAACGUUUGGGAUGGAAAACUUCUUUAAACUAUUGGUCCCUGGUUCACAAGGGGCCAUGUCUAGACCUGACAGAGAACUCUUGGCCUUGGAGCUGGAUAUGGUUACUAGAUGAGGCAGGCUGUCUCCUACCAGGGGAGAUAAUGAAUAUACCUCACUAAGGUAUGGACAUUUUUUAAGAUUGUAUGUGGGAAAAAGGAAGUAUGAAUUUUGAUAUCAUAUGUGAUAGUGUUGGUUAUCUACUCCAUAUCCAUUUUCCCUGCUACUUUUUUAAAGAGCCCUAUUUUUUUUCAGUCACCCACCCUUACUUAUGUGUCCAUGUGCAUCAGGAGAGACAGGUCUCAUGCCCAUUCCCAUAAGGUAAAUCCUGAUUAGUCUAGACCAGUCAUGAUUAUCCUAUUCUCCUUGCUGGUAAAUGUUUUAGACAUGGGCACACUUGAACAAUGACACAUGAGAGAAAGUUUGCUACAAAACUUCUGUUAAAGAUUUCCCUACUUUCUAAACAAUACACAAGGAAGUCAUAACUGUUCUUUGUGUACUUUAUCAUAUCAGGUUAUGAUGCACAGGCCUGCUACAGCCAUCUAGUAAACAUGAAGAGAGGUUUGGCUAAAUACAAAGCUGACAUGCUGAGGCAGGAAAAGCAAUAGAAAGAAACAGGGUCCUUCAGACACUGAAUUGGAUAGUCUAAUAGACUCUGCUUCAUGAUUUCUUGUCAUGUAUAAUAGUAAAUAUCCUUAUAGCUUAAGUCUAUUUAAACUGAGGCUGUCUUUUACUUAUAGUUAUUAUUGAUACCUCUGUUUCAUCCUUUGAAUGCUUUUUUCACCUAAUUAAUAUUUUGUGGGGUUUUUUUUGUCUUUUUGUCUUUUUCUAGGGCCACACCCAUGGCAUAUGGAACGGCCCAAGAAAUAGCAACAACAACAACAACAACAACCACAACAACAAAAAGACAAAAAAAGACAAAAAAAAAAAAAGAAAUCUAAGAUGACACAAACAAAUGGAAAGAUAUACCAUGUUCUUGGAUUGGAAGAAUCAAUAUUAUCAAAUGACUAUACUACCCAAGGAAAUCUACAGAUUCAACUCAAUCCCUAUCAAAUUGCCAAUGGCAUUUUUCACAGAACUAGGACAAAAUUUUUUAAAAAAAUUUGCAUGGAGACAUGAAAGACCUUGAAAAGAUAAAGCAAUUGUAAGAAAGAAAAACAGACCUGGAGAAAUCAGGCUCCCUGAAUUCAGGCUAUAUUACAAAGUUAUAGUCAUCAAAACAGUAUGGUACUGGCACCAAAAAAAAAAAUAAUAGUAUAGAAGGCCCAGAAAUAAACCCACACACUUAUGGUCAACUAAUUUAUGACAAAGGAAGCAAGAAUAUACAGUGGAGAAAAGAGAGUCUCUUUAAUAAGUGGUACUGAGAAAACUGGACAGUUACAUGUAAAAGAAUGAAACUAGAACCUUCUGUAAUACCAUACACAAAAUAAACCCAAAAUGGAUUAAAGACCUAAACAUAAUGGCAGAUACUAUAAAACUCUUGGAUUAAAACACACAGAACAGUCUUUGACAUAAAUCACAACAAUAUCUUUUUGGAUGCAUAAGAACAACAACAGCAACAACAAAAAUGGGACCUAAUUAGAUAUAAAGGUUUUGCAAAAGAAACCAUAAACAAAAUGAAAAGACAACCCCCAGAAUGGGAGAAAAUAUUUGCAAACUAUGUGACUGACAAGGAAUUCAUCUUCAAAAUAUACAACAGCUUAUGCAGCUCCACAUCAAUAAAACAAAGAACCCCAAAAAAUGGGUAAAAGGGAGUUCCUACUAUGAUGCAACAGGAUUGGUGACAUCUUUGGAGUGCUGGGAUGCAGGUUUGAUCCUUCGCCCAGCACAGUGGGUUAAUGAUCUGACUUGCCACAGCUGUGGUGUGAGUUGCAACUGCUGCUCAGAUUUGAUCCCUGGUCCCUGAACAUCAUAUGCUGUGAGGGCCAAAAGAGGGGGGAAAAAUUCAGUUCUCUGGGUGAUAUGGAGUUCCUGUUGCAGCUCAUUAGGUUAAGAACCUGACAUUGUGUCCACGAGGAUGCAGAUUCAACCCCUGACUUUGCUCAGUGGGUUAAGGAGCCAGCACUGCCACAAGCUGUGGUGUAGGCUGCAGGUGCAGCUCAGAUCCAGCAUUACUGUGGCUGUGGCAUAUGCCUGCAGCACAGCUCCGACUCAACCCCUAACCUGAGAACUUCCAUGUGCCCUAAAAAAGACAAAGGAAGGUGCAGCCAUAAAAAGAAAAUAAAAUGGACAGAAGAUAUAGACAGACCAUUUCUCCAAAGGCUUACAGAUGGCUCAAAAGAAUCUCUAAUCAUUCAACAUCACUAAUUAUUAGAGAAAUGAAAAUCAAAACUACAAUGAGGUAUCGCAUCACACUGGUCAGAAUGGCCAUCAUCAAAAAGCCUACAAACAAUAAAUGCUAGAGAGGCUGUGGAGAAUAAGGAACCCUCCUAACUCUGUGGGUGGGAAUGUAAAUUGGUACAGCCACUAUGGAGAACAAUAUGGAGAUUCCUUAAAAAACUAAAAAUAGAACUACCAUAGAAUCCAGCAAUCCCACUUCUGGGCAUAUAUCCAGAGAACAUCAUAAUUUGAAAAGAUACCUGUACCCCAGUGUUCAAUGCACCACUGCUGCAGGGAGUGAUAAAUUAGGAGUUUGGGAUUAACAUAUACAUAACUACUAUAUAUAAGACAGAUCGUCAACAAAGAUCUACUGCAUAGCACAGGGAACUCUACUCAAUAUUCUGUAAUAACCUGUAUGGGGAAAUAAUUUGAAAAAAAAUGAAGACAUGUAUAACAGAAUCACAUUGCUAUAUAUCUGAAACUAACAUAACACUGUAAAGCAACUAUACUUCAAUUUUUAAAAAGUUGCUCAAAACCAUCAAUAAAGUUCCUAGGAUGUGGAGAUUUUAAAGGAAAGGGGGUUAUAAAAAUUUUUUAAAUGUGGCCUUGUCCUUACUUUUACAAUCUAAUAGAAUAUCAAGUCAAUGAGAAAAGAUAUAAUUACAUCUGCAAAGUAAGUGUAGAGAAAAGAAAAUCUAAGUGAA
rnacentral:lncRNA from 1 species